rnacentral:rRNA from 1 species
GACGAACGCUGGCGGCGUGCUUAACGCAUGCAAGUCGAACGGAAAGGCCCUGCUUUUGUGGGGUGCUCGAGUGGCGAACGGGUGAGUAACACGUGAGUAACCUGCCCUUGACUUUGGGAUAACUUCAGGAAACUGGGGCUAAUACCGGAUAGGAGCUCCUGCUGCAUGGUGGGGGUUGGAAAGUUUCGGCGGUUGGGGAUGGACUCGCGGCUUAUCAGCUUGUUGGUGGGGUAGUGGCUUACCAAGGCUUUGACGGGUAGCCGGCCUGAGAGGGUGACCGGCCACAUUGGGACUGAGAUACGGCCCAGACUCCUACGGGAGGCAGCAGUGGGGAAUAUUGCACAAUGGGCGGAAGCCUGAUGCAGCAACGCCGCGUGCGGGAUGACGGCCUUCGGGUUGUAAACCACUUUCGCCUGUGACGAAGCGUGAGUGACGGUAAUGGGUAAAGAAGCACCGGCUAACUACGUG